rnacentral:miRNA from 6 species
CCUGUAGAUCCGAAUUUGU